GCUCCUGCGGCCUAAUAGAUAAGGCGUUGGCCUCCGGAGCCAGAGAUUAUGGGCUCGAGUGCUACCAGGAACA